rnacentral:rRNA from 1 species
UACGUAGGGUGCGAGCGUUGUCCGGAAUUAUUGGGCGUAAAGAGCUCGUAGGCGGUGUGUCGCGUCGGCCGUGAAAACCUGCAGCUUAACUGUGGGCGUGCGGUCGAUACGGGCAUCACUGGAGUUCGGCAGGGGAGACUGGAAUUCCUGGUGUAGCGGUGAAAUGCGCAGAUAUCAGGAGGAACACCGGUGGCGAAGGCGGGUCUCUGGGCCGAUACUGACGCUGAGGAGCGAAAGCGUGGGGGAGCGAACAGG